UUAAGUUCAGCGGGUAUCCCUACCUGAUCCGAGGUCAACCACAGAGUUGGGGGGUUCUGGCAGGCUGCCGCCGGACCCUGGAGCGAGAGCUGUACUACGCUGAGGGCCAGGCGGCGCCGCCACUAUCUUUAGGGCCGGCCGCGGCGGGCAGGGCCCAACACCAAGCGAGGCUUGAGGGUUGAAAUGACGCUCGAACAGGC
rnacentral:misc_RNA from 1 species